UACGUAGGGGGCAAGCGUUGUCCGGAUUUAUUGGGCGUAAAGAGCUCGUAGGCGGUUCAGUAAGUCUGCUGUGAAAGUCCAGGGCUCAACCCUGGGAUGCCGGUGGAUACUGCUGAACUAGAGUGCGGAAGAGGCGAGUGGAAUUCCUGGUGUAGCGGUGGAAUGCGCAGAUAUCAGGAGGAACACCAAUAGCGAAGGCAGCUCGCUGGGAC
rnacentral:rRNA from 1 species